rnacentral:rRNA from 1 species
AUUGAACGCUGGCGGCAGGCUUAACACAUGCAAGUCGAGCGGAGCGAGGGUGCUUGCACCUUAGCUUAGCGGCGGACGGGUGAGUAAUGCUUAGGAAUCUGCCUAUUAGUGGGGGACAACAUUCCGAAAGGAAUGCUAAUACCGCAUACGCCCUACGGGGGAAAGCAGGGGAUCUUUGGACCUUGCGCUAAUAGAUGAGCCUAAGUCGGAUUAGCUAGUUGGUGGGGUAAAGGCCUACCAAGGCGACGAUCUGUAGCGGGUCUGAGAGGAUGAUCCGCCACACUGGGACUGAGACACGGCCCAGACUCCUACGGGAGGCAGCAGGGGGGAAUAUUGGUCAAUGGGCGGAAGCCUGAUCCAGCCAUGCCGCGUGUGUGAAGAAGGCCUUUUGGUUGUAAAGCACUUUAAGCGAGGAGGAGGAGCUCUAGGUUAAUACCCUAGAUGCUUGGACGUUACUCGCAGAAUAAGCACCGGCUAACUCUGUGCCAGCCGCCGCGGUAAGAC